rnacentral:SRP_RNA from 1 species
CGGCAAGUCUUAUACGGCCAGCUCCUGCAGAACUCCCCCAGGAUCGGAAGAUAGCAAGGGUAUGUGGUUGAGCGGUGCGAUAUAAGUAACUUGCCGAUU